GACGGAGGAUGCAAGUGUUAUCCGGAAUCACUGGGCGUAAAGCGUCUGUAGGUGGUCAAAUAAGUCAACUGUUAAAUCUUGAGGCUCAACCUCAAAAUCGCAGUCGAAACUAUUAGGCUAGAGUAUAGUAGGGGUAAAGGGAAUUUCCAGUGGAGCGGUGAAAUGCGUAGAGAUUGGAAAGAACACCGAUGGCGAAGGCACUUUACUGGGCUAUCACUAACACUCAGAGACGAAAGCUAGGGUAGCAAAUGGG
rnacentral:rRNA from 1 species